AUCACUUUUCUGCCUUUUGCCUAACAUGAAAUAUAUAAUGUCUGUUCUUUAAUGUUUAACAUCUUGUAUGUCCUGUGUCCAAGGACAAUAAAUGAAAUGGAUUUUUGGAGCUUGGAGAUGAUAUAAGAUUUGUUCCAACCACUAUAUACAUACAGUGAUCUAACUUUUACAUAGCCUCUAGGACUGGUCUCCACUCU